rnacentral:rRNA from 1 species
CUCUUCGGGGAUGAUUAAACCGGCGCACGGGUGAGUAACACGUGAGUGACCUGCCUUUUAGACUGGAACAACUUACCGAAAGGUGAGCUAAUGCCGGAUGAGUUAUAUAAGUGCAUGUUUAUAUAGGAAAAGUUGGGGAGACCUGACGCUGAAAGAUGGACUCGCGUCCCAUUAGCUAGUUGGUAGGGUAAUGGCCUACCAAGGCGACGAUGGGUAGCCGGCCUGAGAGGGUGGCCGGCCACACUGGGACUGUGACACGGCCCAGACUCCUACGGGAGGCAGCAGUGGGGAAUUUUGCGCAAUGCUCGUAAGAGUGACGCAGCGACGCCGCGUGAAUGACGAAGGCCUUCGGGUCGUAAAGUUCUUUCGACAGGGAAGAAAAUGCCUAUAAGUAACUGUGUAUGUAUUGACGGUACCUGUAUAAGCAGCCCCGGCUAACUCCGUGCCAGCAGCCGCGGUAAUACGGAGGGGGCGAGCGUUGUUCGGAGUGACUGGGCGUAAAGAGCACGUAGGCGGUGUUGUAAGUCAUUAGUCAAAGACUAGAGCUCAACUUUAGUAAGGCUAGUGAUACUAUAAUACUAGAGUAUCAGAGAGGAUUGCAGAAUUCCUGGUGUAGCGGUGAAAUGCGUAGAUAUCAGGAGGAAUACCGUUAGCGAAGGCGGCAAUCUGGCUGGAAACUGACGCUGAGGUGCGAAAGCGUGGGUAGCAAACAGGAUUAGAUACCCUGGUAGUCCACGCUGUAAACGAUGGAUGCUANGUGUUGGGCUUUUAAGUUC